rnacentral:tRNA from 1 species
ACCCCCUUAGUAUAUACUAGUACAUUUACCUUCCAAGUAAAAAGAUUACGGGACCUCCAAUAUGUCUUU